rnacentral:rRNA from 1 species
UAGUAGGCGGGGUAACGGCCCACCUAGUCUUCGAUGGAUAGGGGUUCUGAGAGGAAGGUCCCCCACAUUGGAACUGAGACACGGUCCAAACUCCUACGGGAGGCAGCAGUGAGGAAUAUUGGUCAAUGGGCGCAGGCCUGAACCAGCCAAGUAGCGUGAAGGAUGACUGCCCUAUGGGUUGUAAACUUCUUUUAUAAAGGAAUAAAGUCGGGUAUGUAUACCCGUUUGCAUGUACUUUAUGAAUAAGGAUCGGCUAACUCCGUGCCAGCAGCCGCGGUAAUACGGAGGAUCCGAGCGUUAUCCGGAUUUAUUGGGUUUAAAGGGAGCGUAGAUGGAUGUUUAAGUCAGUUGUGAAAGUUUGCGGCUCAACCGUAAAAUUGCAGUUGAUACUGGAUAUCUUGAGUGCAGUUGAGGCAGGCGGAAUUCGUGGUGUAGCGGUGAAAUGCUUAGAUAUCACGAAGAACUCCGAUUGCGAAGGCAGCCUGCUAAGCUGCAACUGACAUUGAGGCUCGAAAGUGUGGGUAUCAAACAGGAUUAGAUACCCUGGUAGUCCACACGGUAAACGAUGAAUACUCGCUGUUUGCGAUAUACAGCAAGCGGCCAAGCGAAAGCGUUAA